rnacentral:rRNA from 1 species
AGAGUUUGAUCAUGGCUCAGAGCGAACGCUGGCGGCAGGCUUAACACAUGCAAGUCGAGCGGGCGUAGCAAUACGUCAGCGGCAGACGGGUGAGUAACGCGUGGGAACAUACCUUUUGGUUCGGAACAACCCAGGGAAACUUGGGCUAAUACCGGAUAAGCCCUUACGGGGAAAGAUUUAUCGCCGAAAGAUUGGCCCGCGUCUGAUUAGCUAGUUGGUGAGGUAAUGGCUCACCAAGGCGACGAUCAGUAGCUGGUCUGAGAGGAUGAUCAGCCACAUUGGGACUGAGACACGGCCCAAACUCCUACGGGAGGCAGCAGUGGGGAAUAUUGGACAAUGGGCGCAAGCCUGAUCCAGCCAUGCCGCGUGAGUGAUGAAGGCCCUAGGGUUGUAAAGCUCUUUUGUGCGGGAAGAUAAUGACGGUACCGCAAGAAUAAGCCCCGGCUAACUUCGUGCCAGCAGCCGCGGUAAUACGAAGGGGGCUAGCGUUGCUCGGAAUCACUGGGCGUAAAGGGUGCGUAGGCGGGUCUUUAAGUCAGGGGUGAAAUCCUGGAGCUCAACUCCAGAACUGCCUUUGAUACUGAAGAUCUUGAGUUCGGGAGAGGUGAGUGGAACUGCGAGUGUAGAGGUGAAAUUCGUAGAUAUUCGCAAGAACACCAGUGGCGAAGGCGGCUCACUGGCCCGAUACUGACGCUGAUGCACGAAAGCGUGGGGAGCAAACAGGAUUAGAUACCCCCGUAGUCC